UAACAAUUAGGUGGUUUAUGACAUAGACAGGCUUCUAAACACAGGUCAAACAUCGUCCUUCGCAUCUCACCUGAAGCAUGCCGGCAACUCCAGUCCACCAAAUGCAGUUCCCUUGGGACCUACGCUGGAUGGACACACAGGGUCUCAUGAGGGUCAGAGAAAUAAAGAAUAGGCGACAUGUGCAAAAAGAGAAAUUCUACCUUGAUUAACAAGAUUUCUCCAAGUCUAAAAUCCAAUUAAAUCAACUGAGCCAGGUGGUUGACUCUUAUAAAACACUAUUUCCCAGUGUGAAGAGAAAUCUCAACAU
rnacentral:lncRNA from 1 species